rnacentral:rRNA from 1 species
AUGUAUAGACGUUCAUGCCACGUCGUACAACCUCUGUUCAUUUCACUGAAAAAACAUGAAGUUAGUACAAGUGUAUUGCAAGUUCUCCAGCAGAACUAUACUCUGUCUUCUAAGAUUAACCACGGUGCGUAUAAGAUAUUGCAUAUAGUUGUUUCUCUUCCUGAAAUAGUAGAUAUUGCAGUGAACCGGUCAUGUAAGUUUGCAGAGGUAUAUUGCAAGAUAUCCAGCAGAACUGUACUGAAUCUUCUAAGUUUAUUGGCAGUGUGCAUUAAUAUUGACUUUCUGGUAAUGAUGGGUAGUGUAGAAACUUGA